GAACGAAACCUGUGGUAGAACCGAACUGGUGCUCGGAAUCGAAGAGUGAAAAUUGUGUCUGCGUCAAACUUUUCCAAAACCUCUGUCGAUCGCUUUUCGAAGCAGCUCGUUAUUUCUUCAACGCUUUAACUGUCCUCGAAACCACCCCAAACUAAACCAGAAUGCCGGCAGCAGCACCGCAGGUGGAAAAUGGUGCAGGCGUACCAAAAACGGAGCUGCAGGAGCUCCAAAUUAAACAGCAGCAGGUGGUCGAUGAGUCCUUGGACAGUACCCGCCGAAUGCUGGCACUAUGCGAGGAGAGCAAGGAAGCCGGGAUUCGAACCCUGGUGGCCCUUGACGAUCAGGGAGAACAAUUGGACCGAAUCGAGGAGGGCAUGGACCAGAUCAAUGCCGACAUGCGUGAAGCUGAGAAGAAUCUGAGUGGCAUGGAAAAAUGCUGUGGUAUCUGUGUCUUACCGUGCAACAAAAGUGCAUCCUUUAAAGAGGACGAUGGUACCUGGAAGGGCAACGAUGACGGUAAAGUGGUUAACAAUCAGCCCCAGCGAGUAAUGGACGAUCGCAAUGGAUUGGGCCCGCAGGCAGGUUACAUCGGAAGGAUCACGAACGAUGCGCGGGAGGAUGAAAUGGAGGAAAACAUGGGACAGGUGAACACGAUGAUCGGUAAUCUGCGAAACAUGGCGCUCGAUAUGGGCUCCGAGCUUGAGAAUCAGAACAGACAGAUCGACAGAAUCAAUCGCAAGGGCGCAUCGAAUGAGGACAGGAUAAAGGCGGCCAAUGAAAAAGCGCACUCGCUUCUCAAAUAAAAAGGGUACCGAGUAUAUAUAUAGCAGUGCAUAUAUACAAUAUACACACCUAUCUAUACAUAUAUAUAUAUACAUAUACUUGUAUGGUUAUCGUUAUUAUUUUACCUCCUCCAAUUUCGGAUAUCGAAACGAACAAACGCGAAAAAUGGAGAUUCCAACGCCACCAGGAUAGCAGCGGCCAACGAACGGGCUCACGAUCUGCUGAAAUAAGCUGUGCGACACUUACGAUCGCUGAUGGUUUGAGCAACGGAAGGAUGUUAGGCGCGACACAGACAACAGGACGGCAUGCGAUUGUAAUUGAGCAGUGUAAACUAUUCCAGUUGUGUGUGGUCCUGCCGGGUAGAAAAGGCUAUAGAGAGCAAAUAGAGAAAUUGAGGCAAAAAAGCGCUAAUCAAGAUCCACCUACGAUUUACAACAAAGCAUGGAAAACUGAACACGAAUACUGAAAAAACAAAACAAAAAAAACGGCAUACACCGAUAACACUGCAGAUGGAAGAACACAUUGUCAACCGGACGUUAGACUGCUUUGCAUUUAAAUAAGCGUUAAUGAGGAAGAGUUGGGAAUAAAACAAUGGAGUGUGUCAAUCAGUUGCCACCGCUUGCUGGUUUAGUGUAAGAGGACGCUCUAGGCUUAAACGAGAAACGUUGAUCAUUUACCGAAAUGAUGGCACAGAUCGAGCGCAUAAAUUUUACCCUCCCCAUUUUACCCUCAACACAAGUAUAUGAGACAGCGAAAUGCAGACAAGUCACAGGAGCAGGAGCGCUAGAGAAAAAAAGGCGGUGAAAAUAUUACAACGAUACUCUUAGGUUUCACUAGGUUGUGCGUUAUUGCGUUUUGAAUUCCAUUACUACUCGCUGCAUCUGCACGAAGAUGAUGAUCGUUCUGUCACAACCAGUGCGCGUGUGCCUUUGCUGCGGCACGAAUGUUAGGUUGUUUUUUGGUUGUUAUUAUUUUAAGUUUCACUUUUAGGCUACCGCGCGGGACCAAAGUAUCCUGUCCUUUCGUUCGUAUGUUUUCUUCUCUCGGACAGUUUUUGACACGUCGUUUUGUGUAAAAAAGUGUGCAUUCGCAUAAGAUGCAGGUGAUGAUCGAGAUUAUUCUCACACGUUCGUUGUUUGCCACUACCGUUACUAGCGUUAGUCUUAACGAUGCUCGUUUUGUCCGUUUUUAAAGCAGCUUUUAGUAACAGUAGGAUAGGAUAAAAAUCUUCUCCCCCCCUUGUUCGUCCAAUCGUUUGAUUGGGCGAGGAUUUUUUUUCCCCCUGACUCCCUUUCCCCAGCGUGUGUAUGUGUAUACAACGAUGCAUCCACGAGAAAAACGUGGGCAAAGCGUUGUGCGGAUUGUUAAAAGAAUCAGUGAUCAGAGUCAGCUCUUUAAGACAUUUUAAUCGUUACAGUAUAGUGUAGAUCCUUCAUACUAAUGCUACAUGAAUGUUUAGGGUUGUUAAUACUGCAGCAUAAUGUGCACAUCACCCUUAAUCGUUUCUUGUUUGGCUACGUUUUGAACGAACUGCGUUCGAGCGGUUUCCUUUUUCUUCCCACCGAGACCGGAAAGCAAAAGAAAGAGGUAGAGAGUAUCAAGUGUCCAGUCAGGCGAUGUAGCUAAUCAUCAUAUCACUGGGCGCGUGCUGGGAUGUUGUUGCAGAUGCCAUUUUGUGAUGUGUGAUGACCGAACGAAUAAAAUUGCUCUUUCCGUCUGAAAGAUUCCGACGUAUAAAGGUUUACCAGCUAGGUAAACCGUUCUCGUGUAAUUCGUUACAAUUUACGAACAUGUUCGUGUGUGCUUAAUGCUCUCCGUGUCAUUAAAACUUUGUUCCUCAGCAAGGGCGCUCAGUAACGCUGAGAUAUAGUGUUUUUAAAACCUAUUUGUUAAUUGAUGAACAGAACGCUUCAAACGCCUAGCAAAACUAGCGUCGUUACAUAUAGUUGGCAACAAAGCAUUAAUUCGGCAACGGCAAGUAGCUAUUCGGCUAUCGGUUAUGCUACGGGAAGGAAAUGGAACAAGGUUAGCACGGACAGAUAUUUAAUUUGCUUUGUUCCGAUUGAUCAUAGUUGGUAGAUUAUGUUAAAGUUCCCCAUUAGGGUGCAUAUAUUUUACUAUUCUAGACGUUGUGGAUAUAGAUCGUCCCCAAAAUCAACGAUCAGUCUUGUAAUGUAGCCCAGCACCCAGCGUUAACUAGUUGACUAGCAUGCCACAGUUAUAGUAAAAGUAAUCUCAAUUGCAUCAACUGGAUCCGCUGAACACUGAAGCUUGGUAUUUUGCCAUUCGACGGAAAGAAAAUGGUGGUGGUGGUUAAAAGUUUGAAUUAACUUCCUUACUUCACCGCACCUCGAAACCCAACAUCGGAAGGCAGUAAAACGGGAUGGUCAUUUUCCUGUGGUACAUGCUGGUUUAAAUGGCAAGCAAAUUUUCAUCUCGAUAUAGCUUCAAUCUCAAAUAAUAAUGUGAACAAAACGAACAAAAAAAAAACAACAACAACUAAAACCCCCAGUGUAGUGGAACCUGCAUUAAGACGAACAGAAACCAUAGCCACCAAAAAACGUUGGAAUAGUGAAAGGAAAAGGAACAUUACUAAAACAAAAAAACAAAAAUUAAAAAGCAAAAAAGCGUACUUUAAUAAUAAAUAUAAAUAUACAAAACUUAUACAUUAUUAAUGAUACAUUAUUUACUUAGCAAACAGUGAGCGAGUAAAUGUGCAUGGACGCGUUUAUAUCAUAUCAAGGCAGGCCAGACGUAAUACAGACAGCAACAAAAGCGAAUUCUACAAAACCCCAUGCAUGGGCGAAAAGACAAGCAUCAAACGUGAGGCAACCACAAACAAACAAACAAACAAACACACAAACGAAAAACGAAAGGGAAAAUAAAACUAGCAAAACUAAACACCGAAGUGAAUUGUAUCGCAAAGCAAGCUAAUCAUAAGGAAGCAUAUAAGUGCAGCAUAACAAGCAUGUGUGGAUAAAUGCGCAUUUUCCAUUUGAAUGGGCAAACAAUUGUGGCAAACAACAACAACAACAAACAAACCGUGGAAGUUUUAACUUCCACAACAAUUUGCGAAUGAUGAAAAAAAGAAGAUUGCAAUAUUAUUGUGGUAUCCUACCGAAACGGAAAUGCUCGAUUUAUUAAAAUGAGAAGCAAAACCAAAAAAAAAGUAAAACAAAAAAGCAUUAAUCCAAGGCUAUACAUAGAGAGAAAGAGAAAGAAGUCCAGUAAUGAACAAAAAAGAAAAAAAAACAAAAAACUUUAUCAUAUACCAAUACUGCUGGGCUUACAGACAGCGACAGGACACUGAACACAAAAAAAGGACACGCGUUCAAGUAUAUACACUCAUUAUUAUGUUUGAACAAAAUGAACGUUGAUUGAAUAGAUUCAUCAGCAAUAAUAAACAAUUGUGAUAAUACAAUACAUACAAGAUGGGGGCGGGCGGAAUGAAAACAUAACACAAGCAAAGGAAGAUAGAAAGGGCAGGUGAUGAGCAAAAAAAGGCAGAAAUUAUGAAGCAAUCGAAGGAAGGGAAAGCAGAACGAAGCACGAAAACAUUAGUGAAAGAACAAACAAAGCAGUUGCAAUGUAGUGAGGCGCUUGACAAAACGUAUUGAAUGAGAAAAACAAGGGAAGAGGUAGCAAAAUGCGUAACAAAAAUAGUUAAAACAGUACCGUUAAAGAAUCGAGUGAAACAUAAGUAAACUCAUUUAAGUCUCGCACCGGGCUAGAAUGAAGGCAACCGUGUACGGAACGGUUUUUCUCCCAUUGGAGUAAUUAGAUUUGUUUAAUUUGCUUUCGCUCUAAUAGAAGGGUGACUAAAAUGAAACAGUUUAUGUAAAAAACAAAAACAUACACAUAAAAUCUUUAGUAUGUUUAAAUUGCAAAAAAACAUAGUUAAAAUCGCUUUUGAUCCGAUGAAAAGCCCCUGCAUCUUUUCUUCCACCAAAUUUCGGUUCUGUGAUUCGGUUCACCUUUUUCCUAACUACUUCCAAAACCAGAGCACCACUUACUUCCCGGGCAAAAAAAAAGCGAUCUCCAUUCUUCCAGCAACAGAUUUUUGAGCCACGCGGCAGGUGUUGCUAUCGAACCGCGAUCGACCUGCGCGCACCUGAUCUGUUGAUGAUUCUCUUUGUUGAAAUCGUUGUUAAAGGACGAGUUUGGUGGCAUUAAUACGUACAUGAUCGGUAACGGGGUAUUACCUACUCUGCAGACGAAUAAUUGCUAGAUGAAUAUCAAUCAAAAAUCCUUAACCGAACGCGCGGUACAGAAAUGGCAGCGGAAACAGAAUGUAACUAUCAGUGAAAGGCACAUUACAAGCAAACAUUACAAACAAACAACACUAGCACAAUGGGCUACACAGCAUCAUCUCUCUUACUACCUUAGCGAUUGAUAUUCUCCCUCCCAUUUGGAACAACGGUGCAUAUAUAUAUAUAUGAAGCAAAAAGGAAAACAAACGUAACAAAACAUUCAAUACCAGCUCUAGUUGUCUUUUUCAAAAAAAAACCCCCCCCAAAAAAGAAACCAAGCUCUACAUGUGUAUAAAACAAGUCAAAUAAAAAAGACAAAACUCCAAACUAUUGCCAUUAAUUCCGAGCAAAUAAGUAAUAGCUACUAAGGCACAUCACACCACUAUACUCUAUUAUUGCUAACUAGCAGCAUAGCGCAAUAGUAGCUUAGUAAACGGGGCUAACGUGUUUCUCUUUGUGAUUUACCAUUUGUGUUUUUUUGUGGUUUUCGUGUAUCCUAAGCCUUCCAUCCUUCCCUCCCCACAUCCUCCUCUAUUUUUCUAACCCAUUUUUGUUCACCCCUUAGCAUCCAACAUGUAAACUUUUCAGCUAAAAGUGACAGAAAACGAGACAUGUGCUAUAGAAAGGAAUGAUAACAAGCUGAAACAGCAGCAGACAGAAGAGAAAAAACACAGAAACACAGGAGACGUAGAGAGGAAGAAAAACAAACGAAGAAAGGGAAUGAUUGCAAACACCUAAAACAGAAAAAAAACGACAGAACGCAUAUGACGUGAAAGCAAAAAGCAAAAAGUUUACGAAAUGUUAUCUAGUUAAGUUUGGCUACAAACAAAAGAAAACAAAAAAACUUACUCUUAGCGUAAAUGAAUUCGAAAAUUUGUAAAUAGAAUAUAUACAUACAUACAUACAUACAUACACAUACAAGCAUUACACAAAUUAAGAAAUGAGCGCGCGUACAUGCUGAAACAUUCGCACAUAGAGCGCACCACCGCGUGCAACAUCACACGUGAGCAUUAAAGUUGCAUCUGCAUCUUGAACAUGUGCAUGUGUGUUUGUUGCGUGUGUGUGCGGAGUGUGCAUACGCGUUGCUGGUUGUCAGAAAAAAACCAUGGCAACUAAGGAAACCAACUCUGCUGCAAACUCUGUUGAAUAUUGCUAAUGAAAACUAGUAAAAAGGAAAUGCUGAAACACUGUGAACGAGCCCUCCAAACAAACAUAUGCCGUAUGUUUUUGUGCGAUAUAGUUUUACACACAUUAGCGGCGGCAAUAUGCGUUACAUUUAAGGGUUGUUUCACAUUUGUAUUUAAGUUUGUUGCGCUUAGCGAAUUUAUUAUGCGCUGUGUCUGCGGUUUGUUAUUUCUGUUUUAUUGCAUUACUAUUUUAUUAGCGCUUUCGACCUUCCCUAGUUUCCUGUUUGGAAUUAUUAGUAUCAAACCGUUACGGGGAACACAAAAUUAAUGGCCAAAAGAUAUGAAACAGUUACAACCAUCACCCUAACGUAUCCAUUAAUGCACUAUUUAAUUGUUGCAUAUAAAAACAUGUUUUGUUAUUUGAUUUAAAAUCAAUCCAUUUGCCGGUCUAGUUUAAUAGUGCACUAUGCACGUGUCUAGUAAUAAGCGGUUAUUUAUUCUGUUUUUAUUGCUUUGCUUAUUUUAACCAACUUCCUAACCAUUCUUGUGUGUUUAGUCACACAGAAAUGGGGCAAAUGCUCCAUAAGGAUAUAUUUUCACUUUACAUGCAAUAAAUGGGAAACAUUAUUCUCGCAUCAUAUGCAGAUGCAAUCACGUAUUCUCUCAUCCGAUACGCGAUUUGCGUCUGUGCGGCGAUGACAAUUGAGCGGCAAAACUGUUUGUACAUACACACAUACAUGUGGUGGAUUUGAGGAUAAAAAAAACACUAAAAUUCCAACACAUAAAAUCAUGAUCAUCCCCCUCCCCCACACCCAAAAAUACAACACAGUUCAGAGUUUCUAAGUUUAAUAGAAAAAAAGCCUAACUACUAACUGCAUCGCUUGCAUCCCGAUGUCCGUUACAGAAAGAAGGGAAAAACACCCCAACACUCAUAUAUACAUACACACACAAACACUUUCACGCAAUGUUUAAAAAGAAACCCAAUAGAUUCGCUUUUCACUUCACUUUUGGAUCACUAAAAACACUUUCACACUACUUUUGAAACACACAAACACAUAAACAUUGACAAUGCAUUUACCGAUGUAAGGAGGGGAACAGGAAACGGGACAGCGAGUGAAGUGUGAAGGAUACAGUGCGCAAAAAGAAGAAGGAGAAGAAGAAGCAGAAGCAGAAAAAACGACGGUAUUAAAAGUCAAAUGCUUUUUUGGUACAUUUCGUAUAAAAACGUAAAAGAAACAAUUUCCAAAAGCCCAACUAACAGACACUAAUUCAAAAUUAAUAAUCCAACAAGAAAGAGAGAGAGAGAGAAGAAAAAAAAUUGCAACAAAAAAACCAAACAAAAAAUGCGUAUAAACUAGCUGCAGAUUAAUUGAAACUGUAUUACGGUUAAUACUUUUUAAAAAUGUAUUUCAAGUAUCCUGUAAAAAUAAAAUGAUUAUAAUGGACCUAAAAAAA